AGUCCCCAAACAACCUAAGAAGCAAGCAAGUUACUGUUAGCGCUUUGCAGGUGGAGAGGCUCGAGUGAGUAUGGACUCUAGCAGGUUCACUCUGCUCAUGGUUAAACCAGGUUUCCAGACGUGAGUAGCACAGAGGAUUUGCAGGAGGGCCGCGGGUAGACACACCCGAAGCCCGGGUCUGUCUAUCUAAGUUCCACAGCUGCCGUACACACCCGUACAGCCUUGGGGAGAAAUAUUCCAGAUUACCAAACACAGCGCUUGUACAAUAAUCAGGUUGUGCGAAGACCAGAUUAGGGAAGACCCACCCCGUGUAGAGCCCCGAGGCUCGAAACCCUCCGGAUGGUACUGGCUAGGGCUGGUGAUACCUCCUCACCCAGAACCUGGAAUUAAGGGAGGCGGGUUCUGCUCCUCUAGAGCCCAAACCCGAGGAAGGAAAUGGAAGGGUGGGAUGGUGUCAGACGGAAGGGAAAGCAGAGAAGAGGAAGACCAAAGCCAGCAAGGGGGAAGGGGAGGCUCAAUGGUCUACGCCCUGACUGUGCGGCAGAUGCAUGAGGCCCCAAGACUCUGCCUGGCAAGUGCAGACUGAUUGCAUAGGAUCAAAUACCGUGCAAGAACAAUCAAGAAUGCUAUCAACUAGACAUCAAGGGAAACAGAAGCGGCCGAAUGUCUGUGGUUCAGUGGGAGAAUGGACGCUCUGGGUUCAUCCCCGGCACCGUCAGAAAAGAAAACCCGGAAUGAACAAGCACCAUUACAGCAAGAAAGUACAAAGAAAGUGCUUUGGGAAGUAAGAAACAGAAAGCUGGUCCUUCAUUUUCUGCCAAAGGAGAAUAUAAGCCUGGCCGAGCUGUAAAAAUAAAACUUUGCCUUGCACUGUC
rnacentral:lncRNA from 1 species